UGUGAUCGCAGCCGCCCUGAGCAGUGGCGGGGGGACCCGCCCUGCCACGCAGCCUCGUCUCUGCUCGCAGCCGUGGCCCUGGGCGCGGGCCUCGCCAUCCUGCCGCCAGCUGCUAGAAAGCCCCGGAGCCAAGCGGUUUGCCUUAGCACAGCUCGUUGGGGAGCAGCUGCAACUGGCCAGGGUGUGUGGAUUCCAAACGGAAUCCAAACGGAUUACUCGUCUCCCCUGCAGCUGCCCUGCCCUGGCCCUCCCUCUGGGCAGCGGCUCCCCUAGCGAUGGCUCAGCCUCCUUCCAGAAAGUUCAGUGGCUUGCAAUUAGGAAGAACUAGGCUCCGUUCGUGUAAAAAUGUCGAUCUCACAUCUAUUUAAAGCUUUUCUUCCCUUUCCCCUCAGAGCAGAGUCAUACUUGGACUGUUGUGCGUUGGCCCGCAUCCUCCAUGGCAGCCGAGGGCGCGUCUCAUCGCAGAGCGCUCGUCGCCCCCGUUUGCGCAGGCGGGCUUAGAAUUCUGCAGCCGCCCCGCUGCGCCACACCCUCAUCCACCUUAUCUGUCGGUGUAUCUGCUGGAUGGACAUCACUGCUCGAGCAGAAUCCGUGCAUCAAGCCCAGGAACCGUGGUUCUGACGGCCCAGGGCCGGGUGUCCCGGCCGCUGCCUGGAUCAUCGAGGACACCCCAGUGGGCACAUCUUUCUGAACCAGGGCAGGUCGCCUUUGUGGGCUCACUUCGCUCGUCGGCCACGACAAAGGACCCUGGUGAUUAUUCUAGGACGUGGGUUGCUAUGGCGACGGGAAAGGGGGACUCCAGGCAGAGCUGACUGGCCCCCCCCCCCCCCGUCUCGCCUGCCUUCCUCCACUCCCUCAGCCCCCUCUGCGAUGGUGCGCCUGCCCUAGAGAGCCCUCUUCUGUCUUCCUGUCCCCUGCGCCGUGGCUCCGGUCCCGGGGGUUCUGCAGGGUCCAGGUGUGGAUGCCCGCUCGGGGAGCCUCCCGAACCAGCCCUGCGUGAGGGCUAUUUUUCCGGCCCCUUCUGCAGACAUUGCUGAUCCUGGUGAUUUGCA